AAAAGUGUUCACAGAAUUCCUGGAUUUGUCUUGGAAGGCAGACUCCCACGUAUUUUCUACUGUAAGAGGGUUUGGAAGAGGAAAGCUUCCACCUGGUCCUGCUCCUCCUUCCAUUGUUGGCAAUAUACUCCAGGCAGACCUUAAGAAUAUCCCUCAAUCUCUUUGCAAG